rnacentral:lncRNA from 1 species
GAUUCACAACAGAAAAUGAGCACAAAACCCCUCUAUAGCCAGAGAGUGAUUGUCUACAAAGUCCUAUGUGGUAGAAAUAAGGCUUUGCCCCAAGGAGCCAUCUGGCUGUGUGCCCUCUCCCACACGCACACUUCCAUUUGGCACACUUAUUGUUAUCCUGUGCUGUGAGGGAACAGAGGUACUGGCCACGGAUCCAUUGCAGAGGAGCCAGCUUAUACUCCCACGGUGCUAGGAAGGAGGCGGGACAGAUGAAAACAUCGAGGCUUAGAGGGGUUUCUGAGUAGCUGAGAAGUCAGGACUUCACACUCCCGAUCUUUCCCCUGGCCUCCAGUUUGCCUGGCAAAGUCACAGGAAGUAUCUCCAUGGCACCGCAUCAGCCCUCACAGAGCAGGAAACCUUGAUUUCUACAGAGGCUGUUUCCUCCCAGCCUUGUGCAAGGCCCACUGCAGAGACAAAAUUAUGGUGGCCAAAGUGUGAAUGCCAAGGCCACACUGGCCUCCAUCCCUGGGAUUUGCUGGUAGAAGAAAGGGAAUCAGCGCUGACUGAGCUCCUACUAUGUGCCCUUCCUGGGCCUGGCACUGGAAUCACAGGAUGAAUGAAUAAGGCAUAUUUCCUGCCCUGAGGAGGCGUCUAUAGGGGAAGUCGGAAUUAAGGCACCUCCAGAAUUCUGAGGUCAAGGGAAUGUCAACAGAGCUGUGAACAAAAUGCCCAAAGCCAUGAAAAUCUACAGAGAGAGACUCGAAGGGGAGGAAUGGGGUAGGAGCUGGUGCCGAGGAUGAGAGGGGAGAAUUCACCUGGUGGAGAACUGAUAGGCCAGGCUGAGGUCGGGAUGGUGGAGGAGGUGGUGGAGGUGAUGAGGUACCAGAGCAACCUCGAAGAAAGCUGAGAGGCAGGAGACCGCCAAAGGCAAACUUGGAACACCUGGUGACUCCGACUAACUCUCCAUGUGGUGUCCUUGAGGACUUUUAUGAUACUGCUACCACUGCUAAUAGUAAUAAAAGCCACUAUUUAAUGUGUUUACUAUGCGCUGGGUGUGCAAAUAUUGUGGAAAGAGUGAACAUAUGUGCAGAAUGCUUAAUAAACGUGAUCUCCUUUUAUCUUCAAAAGAA